GGUUUGAAUUUCUCUGUUCAAGGAAUGUUAGAUUCUUUCCUCUCCUCCUUUCCCUUCUUCCUUUCUAUAAUUCUCACUAUGAAAAUUUUUUUCUUGAGAAGUUUUUUCUUUAUCUCUACUGUGGCUCUCACUUUUUUCUAAUUAAUAGCCGAAUUAAAUACAAUUAACAACGUAGUACUCAUACUAAGUAAAACCCUACUCCCUUUUAAUCCUUAUACAGAAUGGGACUUGACAAAUGUGAUUUAUUUUGAAUAAGCAAUGAUAAGAAUUUUCACUUAAAAAUUAAGGAUGCACUUCAAUUUCAUUUCAUUGAGCAAAUGAACAAUAGAAUGUUGGAAUAAUUAGGCCGCUUUUGCCAACUCUAUAGAACAACUGUUACUUAGGUGACAUGUUUCCCUGACUUUGUUUUUUUGGUCCUUACCCAGACAAUUAUCAGCUUUCCAGUUUUCUAUGGAUAUGAAGAUUUACUCCUAGUCAUCAGUGGGACCCCAUGAAGUCAGCCAGAAAGCCUAUAUCCAACUUAUGUACCUUUGUAAAUUUGUCUGGAUUUUGAAUGUCAGGAAAAAAGCAGAAAAAUGGGAGAAAAUAUAUUGCCCAAAAAUUAAGACAACGUGUACCUCUUUGCAGUUACAUCUAGAAAGUUGGUUGGAGUCUGAAGUCAUAUUUAGAUAUGAGUUGGGAAUGAAGCACUAAAGCAUUGGUGCAUCGCUGUGAAGAUUUAACAUCUUUCAUCAAGUAAUCUUGAAGUUAACUUUCUGGCAUUUCUCAGGUAUGGAAGACCAUGCUUUUAAAAACAUUUUAAUAUCUCAUUUGUUUAUCUACUUAAAGAGCAUUCUAACCGAGAGAAAUAAGUAGCAUUUAUUUUUCAUGCAGUAUCUAGCAGACCACUGAUUCUUAAAACCAUCUGUAUGUAUUUGAAAAGCUUCAUAUUAUGUUUGGAAAGAAAGUUUAUUGAAUUUAUAAUGCUGAAGGGUCAGUGUACCUCCUAAAUAGAAUUGAAGAUUCACUUGUGCAUUAUUAGGAAUUGAUUCAUUCCUUCUAUUUUAUAGCUUCUUACUGAUUUUCUAGCAAAACAUAUUCCAAGGGACGCCAUUGCUAUAAUAACUGAAUAGGUAUGAUUACUCCUCCCCUCCAUAAGGUUCCUUCAUCAAAUAAGGAUUCGAAUCGAUGAUUAUAAUUAAAGAAUGGUGGGUAGGAUGUUUUUUAUUGUAGUAUCCUUCAAGAGAGUAUCUAAGUAGGAAUUGUUCUGAAUUCCCAGUAGGAGUCAGUAAUGCUUAUUAAGUACUUAACUGUGUGCCAUUCACUGUGCUAAGCAUUUUAUAGCUACAAUCAUAUUUAAUUCUUUUAAGAAUCAAAAAAAUUCUGAAGAACACAUUUCAGGAAGU